UACAGAGGUCUCAAGCGUUGUUCGGAUUCAUUGGGCGUAAAGGGCGCGUAGGCGGCCGUGUAAGUCACUUGUGAAAUCCCGGGGGCUCAACUCCGGGGGCCUGCAGGUGAGACUGCGUGGCUAGAGCUUGGUAGAGGCGAGUGGAAUUCCCGGUGUAGCGGUGGAAUGCGUAGAUAUCGGGAAGAACACCGGUGGCGAAGGCGGCUCGCUGGGCCAAUGCUGACGCUGAGGCGCGAAAGCGUGGGGGAGCAAACAGG
rnacentral:rRNA from 1 species